rnacentral:tRNA from 1 species
UCCCUAGUAGCUCAGACGGUAAAGCGUCUGUCUACAAUGCAGGAGACCCAGGUUCGAUCCCUGGGUCGGGAA